AACGGAACUCCUAUGAACGAGGUUUCGGCCAAGUGAAUAGGAUGUUUAGUGGCGGACGGGUGAGUAACGCGUGAGUAACCUGCCUUGGAGUGGGGAAUAACACAGUGAAAAUUGUGCUAAUACCGCAUAAUGCAUUUAGGUCGCAUGACUUUGAAUGCCAAAGAUUUAUCGCUCUGAGAUGGACUCGCGUCUGAUUAGCUAGUUGGCGGGGCAAUGGCCCACCAAGGCGACGAUCAGUAGCCGGACUGAGAGGUUGGCCGGCCACAUUGGGACUGAGACACGGCCCAGACUCCUACGGGAGGCAGCAGUGGGGAAUAUUGGGCAAUGGGCGCAAGCCUGACCCA
rnacentral:rRNA from 1 species